CUGACUGGAGUUGUUAGGCAUGACAACGGCCAUGCCGUCGUUGGUUCGGGGUCCGCGACAGAAUCAACGCGCGCCUCUUCAUCCUUGUGUCCGACCACCGUUGGGCUGGAACACGUACGUGCAUCAUUAGAGUCGGCAUUGUCAUGAGCCCGAGGGCAGUAGGGUACGUGCACGAGGCGAUGCUUGGCUUGCUCGGUGUUGGCCAAAUCCGCGUUGGCGAGUACUUUUCCAUGAUAAGCCACGACGGACAAUGGACAACGACGAAGCAACGCUGACAACGAUCCUGAUGAAGUUACUUUACGUGAUGCACCGCAGUGCAAAGCUAGCUUCCUGCUAGUUGGCUCCUCGUCGAUCCACUAAUGCAGCGCGAAGCUAGCCGCCCUGCUCCCAAUAAAAGCCCUUUGCGAUACCUUUAUGAAUCAAGUUGUUAGAAAUUGUCAAUUACAUCUAUUUGACUUCAAAAAUAAUCUUGAAUUCUUGAUAUACGAUUGCAAACAUACAUAGUGACACACACAUUAUUUAAUGUAAUUUCAGUUCAGAGCAGUUUAUACAAUGAUACAAGAAAAACAUGAUACGGAGUACUACAAGUGAAAACCAUCAGCAGAGGAAAAAGGAAAACUGGAAAAGUAUCCAAGAAAAUCACAAGGUGCGGCAGCCGGCGGUGAAGCAGCCAUCACGGGAUGGAGCGCCAAGUGGGCUAGCGAUGCAUAGGGCAGAGGGCAGUGGCCGGGAGACUGGAAGGAGGGGUGGGGAGUGCCAACGGGGGCGACGCCAUGGCGGAUGGCGGCGUGAGCGCCGGAAUCUGGAGAUCCAUCCCGCCGUCCUGCGUGCGUGUGACUCGGUGCGGCCGCGUCAGGGUUGUGUCUUGUUCCUUUUCCUGCAGUAGCGAUGCGUAUUCAGACUUCUGUGCCUCGUGUGUGUAUGAGUAGGAUCGUAUGGAUUUUCUUUUUCGAGUGGAAAUUAGAUCGUGUGAUGGUGUUGGAUCGUGUGUGCAUCGUGG
rnacentral:lncRNA from 1 species